AAAAGAAAUCCUUUAUUGAGAUGAGACAAUUCAUGUAGGGUUUCAAAGCAGAGUCUAAAUACUCCCAGGCAUGCAAUAAUAGUUAGGACCCCUCCCCUUAUUUAGAUGUGUAUUUUGUCAAGCAAAGAACCAACGUGUUAAUUCCCCCCUCCCCUUCUCUGAGAACGUAUCUUUUGAAGAGUUCCCAGGGAGUAUCUUC